ACCGCCUGCCCUGUGGAACCCUAAACGGCUGCGGCAUUAAAACCGUGCAAAGGUAGCACAAUCACUUGUCCCUUAAAUGAGGACGCGUAUGAAAGGCAAUAUGAGAGAAUACCUGUCUCCUAAGGACUGCCAAUGAAAUUGAACUACCAGUUCAAAAGCUGGUAUUAACAAGCAAGACAAAAAGACCCUGUGGAACUUUAAUUAACUGCUUUACACGAUUUAAACCAGUAAUUUCAGUUGGGACAACUUUAGAAAAAUUUAACUUCCUAAUUCUUCAAGACCAAUUAGUCAAAUCAAAAUUAUACGACCCAGUAAUACUGAUUAACGAAAUAAGCUACCCCAGGGAUAACAGCGCUACCUUCUCAAAGAGUUCAUAUCAACAAGAAGAUCUACGACCUCGAUGUUGGACCAGGGUACCCAGACGGUGCAGCAGCUGUCAAUGGUUCGUUUGUUCAACGAUUAAUACCCU
rnacentral:rRNA from 1 species